rnacentral:piRNA from 2 species
GAGGGUCCAGGGUUCAAGUCCCUGUUCAG